UUAUUGUCUCUCUGUUGAGUCCCAGAAGGUGGAACUUCCCAACAUGAUAGAGGAGAGUACAAACUUAGCUGAUGUCCUGGAAAGGAAUAGAAACUUAGCAAUGAUCCGCGGUAGAAAUGAGAUGUUACCACUUUACAUGGCCGCUUUGUUUGGCCAUAAAGAGAUGGUACAGUUUCUUUAUGAAGCCACUGAUGACGAGUCAUUAUAUGACAACGACCGCAUUGAAUUGCUUAUCACUCUAAUAAGCAAUGGUUUGUAUGAUGUUGCACUGGAUUUGCUAGAGAAACACCCAGAGUUAGCCGUCGCUUGUGAUGGAAAUGAGGAGACAGCAUUGCUUGCCUUGGCUCGAACGCCUAUUGCCUCUUAAAUUCAGCGAGGAUUUUGGAAACAAUGUGUCAAUUUGUUUUCAGGUAGCAACACCAAGUUGCCUCCUAAAGCACUUGAACUAAUCAAACGCCUUUGGGAACAAGUCAUAUUGUCAGAUGAGACUGCAAUUUCAAAUAUUAUUAAAACUGCCCGACAACUGAUAUUUGUUGCUGCAGAACUAGGAAACAUUGAGCUUCUAAUUAU